AGACAGUGCUACAAAUUGUGAACUGUUGUAUAGAGAGAAAGCAAUGUCAGGGGAGAGGUACAGUGGAUUUACUCAGCCUCUGCUCGUGCUAGAGAGCUGGAUGGCUCAGGUCUCAGCCCCCACAGCGGGUAGCUAUUACUGUCCUCUUCUUGGCCUUCCUGGCAUUUCAACAUGUGUUCAUCUACACAAACAAUGUAAAACAAAUUUAAAAAUGGUACUUUGAUAAGAAAUAUUAAAAUGAAUUUACCUUACCUUUUUCAGUUUCAUGUGUGAAAUCUUUUCUCGAAGGGCUCUUUUGUGAGUUUUUAAAUUGUCUUCAAAAGUAAUGUAAGUUAGACCUUUGAGUGUUCUGUUUACUUUGAAUUCUGUACAGUACAGCUCUAUGCAUCUAGCUGUCUGUCAGAACUUGAGUUCUGCCUAGAAGCAUAUCUGAUGCUAUUUAUAUUUAUCAAUGUUAUAUUUAUCAGCUAAUGUUUAUGGAACUUUACAUGCUACUGAUGUUUGUUGAGUUAAGAUGUAUUUUGCUGUACAAUGAUUAGAACAUUUUGAUAAAGUUCAUUUAAUAUUAGAUGUUUGUUCAAAGAGUAUUAACUUUGUCUUUUAUUUUCACAAAGCUUCAUUCCUUGAAUGGCAUUUCUGCAAUGGAAAGCGACACCUUUUGUGUUUUGGCACAUGGGGUACUGGUAACUGGAUUUCUGGACGUGGGCUUACUAAGCUAAUACUCCCAUUGAUCUCUACAGCCCAGACCAAAUGAGUUACAUCUCAAACAUAAAUGUACUUUCUUUGGAACAAGCAUGGCAUAAUUGAGCAGCUGUGGUAACUCUCAUUGUACUGUCUUGUUAACUGCAUUUUCUAUCCACAUAGUACAAACAAAAUCCUGAAAUGUUCAAGCAGACAGCUCGACUUUGGGCACACGUGUAUGCUGGAGCACCAGUGUCUAGUCCAGAAUACACCAAAAAAAUAGAAAACCUCUGUGCUAUGGGUUUUGAUAGGAACGCAGUAAUAGUGGCCUUGUCUUCAAAAUCAUGGGAUGUAGAGACUGCAACAGAACUGCUUCUGAGUAACUGAGGCACAGGAGCUGCCAGCCACGCUCGCCCCUUCCUGAGGAGCGUCCACACCUGUCAUUUUUAGGAUUCUGCAUAAAUUUCUUUUAAACUGGCAUUCUUGCCUAAUGAUGUUACCUAGGCACCAUUGGAGACUGCAAAAAAAAAAAAAAAAAUUACCUGCUCUGUA
rnacentral:lncRNA from 1 species